UACGUAGGGUGCAAGCGUUGUCCGGAAUUAUUGGGCGUAAAGGGCGCGUAGGCGGCUCGGCACGUCCGUUGUGAAAUCGCCCGGCUCAACUGGGCGGGGUCAGCGGAUACGGUCGAGCUUGAGCAAGCUAGGGGGCAAUGGAAUUCCCGGUGUAGUGGUGAAAUGCGUAGAUAUCGAGAGGAACACCUGCGGCGAAGGCGGGUUGCUGGGCUGACACUGACGCUGAUGCGCGAAAGCCAGGGGAGCGAACGGG
rnacentral:rRNA from 1 species